rnacentral:rRNA from 1 species
UCCUAAGAUGAGCUCAACGAGAAUAGAAAUCUCGUGUGGAACAGAAGGGUAAAAGCUCGUUUGAUUCUGAAGAAGAAGAAGGAGGAGGAGGAAGAGGAGAAGA